UUGCACUCACGUGAAUCUCGUUGUUGCUAGUGUAUGCAACCCCGUCCAUGUCAUCCACGAAUAAGCUCACCUUCUGCAUGUUUUUUCUGUCACUGAGUGUUCGCAAGGCAGCGUAUGUUGAUCCUAUUUUGUCACGGAAUGUCACACCACCGGGGGUUGUCAGUGCAUUGUUUGUUACAGUGAACUUAUAUGCCUGUGUUGUAGCUAGGAAUAAUAAGAAACAAAGGGCGUGCAUGAUCAUGGAUGGUUGCGUUUUCA
rnacentral:lncRNA from 1 species